rnacentral:rRNA from 1 species
UACGUAGGGUGCAAGCAUUAAUCGGAGUUAUUGGGCGUAAAGGGUGCGUAGGCGGUUUUGUAAGUCUUUCUGUGAAAUUCCUGGGCUCAACCUAGGAGCUGCAGGGGAAACUACAAAACUCGAGGAUGGACGGAGAGAAUGGAAUUCCACAAGUAGCGGUGAAAUGCGUAGAUAUGUGGAAGAACACCAGUGGCGAAGGCGAUUCUCUAGUUUAUUCCUGACGCUGAGGCACGAAAGCAAGGGGAGCAAACAGG